GAUGAACGCUGGCGGCGUGCCUAAUACAUGCAAGUCGAGCGAACAGACGAGGAGCUUGCUCCUCUGACGUUAGCGGCGGACGGGUGAGUAACACGUGGAUAACCUACCUAUAAGACUGGGAUAACUUCGGGAAACCGGAGCUAAUACCGGAUAAUAUAUUGAACCGCAUGGUUCAAUAGUGAAUGACGGUUUUGCUGUCACUUAUAGAUGGAUCCGCGCCGCAUUAGCUAGUUGGUAAGGUAACGGCUUACCAAGGCAACGAUGCGUAGCCGACCUGAGAGGGUGAUCGGCCACACUGGAACUGGGACACGGGCCAGACUCCUACGGGAAGAAGCAGUAGGGAAUCGUGCGCGAUGGGCGAAAGCUUGACGGAGCAACGCCGCAUGGGUGAUGGAGGUCUUCGGAUCGUAAAACUCUGUUAUUAGGGAAGAACAAAUGUGUAAGUAACUAUGCACGUCUUGACGGUACCUAAUCAGAAAGCCACGGCUAACUACGUG
rnacentral:rRNA from 1 species